UUUCAUCAUAUCUUCACAGUCGGUUAAUAAAAACCAUCGUUUUAAAUCCAAAGUAAUUGGCAGUAUUUUAUACAAACAGGGGAGUCUGUUACUUAAUAUGAUAAUCCACAAAUAUCUUACCAUAUCUAGAUAUCAGUCUAUAUAUUGCCGUCUUACCUAAUUCUAGAAAUUAGGUAAUCAAUAACUAAAUCUUACUUCAGGUCAAAAUGUAACCAACGAUAUGGAGUAAAUGGACUACAAUUAAUUAACUACACCAAUAUGAAAAAAAGAAAGAACUUGUCAGUAAUAAAUUUUAAUUAUAUAUUUAUCAAAUACAAAUAAAAUAUGUACAUAUCGCCCGUCACUCUUACCGAAAGGAA
rnacentral:rRNA from 1 species